GAUGAAGAACGCAGCGAAAUGCGAUACGUAAUGUGAAUUGCAGAAUUCAGUGAAUCAUCGAGUCUUUGAACGCACAUUGCGCCCGCCAGUAUUCUGGCGGGCAUGCCUGUUCGAGCGUCAUUUCAACCCUCAAGCCCCCGGGCUUGGUGUUGGGGAUCGGCGUGCCCUCGCGGCGCGCCGUCCCCUAAAUCUAGUGGCGGUCUCGCUGUAGCUUCCUCUGCGUAGUAGCAACACUCGCACUGGAUCGCAGCGCGGCCACGCCGUUAAACCCCCCACUUCUGAAAGUUUGACCUCGGAUCAGGUAGGAAUACCCGCUGAACUUAAGCAUAUCAAUAAGCGGAGGA
rnacentral:misc_RNA from 1 species